AUCAUGCUAACGAGUCUCAAAUAGAACGAAACGUGCGUCCUGGAU
rnacentral:hammerhead_ribozyme from 1 species